rnacentral:rRNA from 1 species
GACGGAGGGCGCAAGCGUUGUUCGGAAUUACUGGGCGUAAAGGGCGCGUAGGCGGUCUUGCAAGUCAGGGGUGAAAUCCCGGAGCUUAACUCCGGAAUUGCUUUUGAUACUGUGAGGCUAGAGUGAGUUAGAGGAUGGCGGAAUUCCUAGUGUAGUGGUGAAAUACGUAGAUAUUAGGAAGAACACCGGUGGCGAAGGCGGCCAUCUGGGACUUAACUGACGCUGAGGCGCGAAAGCGUGGGGAGCAAACAGG